rnacentral:rRNA from 1 species
CUGGCGGCGUGCCUAAUACAUGCAAGUCGAACGGUCUUUCUAUGGAAGCUUGCUUCCACUGAGAAGAUAGUGGCGAACGGGUGAGUAACACGUGGGUAACCUGCCCAUAAGAGGGGGAUAACAUCCGGAAACGGGUGCUAAUACCGCAUAGUUUUCUUGAUCGCAUGAUUGAGAAAGGAAAGACGGCCUUUGUGCUGUCGCUUAUGGAUGGACCCGCGGCGUAUUAGUUAGUUGGUGAGGUAACGGCUCACCAAGACGAUGAUACGUAGCCGACCUGAGAGGGUGAUCGGCCACAUUGGGACUGAGACACGGCCCAAACUCCUACGGGAGGCAGCAGUAGGGAAUCUUCCGCAAUGGACGAAAGUCUGACGGAGCAACGCCGCGUGAGUGAAGAAAAGGUUUUCGGAUCGUAAAACUCUGUUGUCAGAGAAGAACAAGUUGGAGAGUAACUGCUCCAGCCUUGACGGUAUCUGACCAGAAAGCCACGGCUAACUACGUGCCAGCCGCGGC